rnacentral:rRNA from 1 species
GACGAACGCUGGCGGCACGCUUAACACAUGCAAGUCGAACGAGAGAAGAGAAGCUUGCUUUUCUGAUCUAGUGGCGGACGGGUGAGUAACACGUGAGCAAUCUGCCUUUCAGAGGGGGAUACCGAUUGGAAACGAUCGUUAAUACCGCAUAACAUAAUUGAACCGCAUGAUUUGAUUAUCAAAGAUUUAUCGCUGAAAGAUGAGCUCGCGUCUGAUUAGCUAGUUGGUAAGGUAACGGCUUACCAAGGCGACGAUCAGUAGCCGGACUGAGAGGUUGAUCGGCCACAUUGGGACUGAGACACGGCCCAGACUCCUACGGGAGGCAGCAGUGGGGAAUAUUGAACAAUGGAGGAAACUCUGAUGCAGCGAUGCCGCGUGAGGAAAGAAGGUUUUAGGAUUGUAAACCUCUGUCUUCAGGGACGAAAAAAGACGGUACCUGAGGAGGAAGCUCCGGCUAACUACGUG